UACAUUCUGUGGCUAGUGCUGGGACUUGUUUCAACACUAGGGUAAACCUUGUUGUUUUUUAGUAACCUGAUACAUUCUGUGGCUAGUGCUGGGACUUGUUUCAACACUAGGGUAAACCUUGUUGUUUUUUAGUAGCCUGAUACAUUCUGUGGCUAGUGCUGGGACUUGUCCUCCUGACAAGAAGACAAAGACACAAG